UAAAUACUUCAUCCGUCCCAAAAUUCUUGUCUUAGAUUUAUUUAAAAAUAAAUGUAUCUAAAUACUAAAACUUGACUAGAUACAUUCAUAUGUAAACAAAUUUAAGACAAGAAUUUUAGGACGGAAGGAGUAUAAG
rnacentral:pre_miRNA from 1 species